rnacentral:lncRNA from 1 species
AUGUGCCCGUGGUCUGUGUGUCGGACUGUUAUGGAUUUACUUCAGUUUAAUUUGAUUCUAUUUUGUUUAAACAUUUUUGACACCAUGCUUUCUGUUUUGUUCAGGUUCCUACACAGUCCUCGUUGGACCACCAAACUCAGGAUGUCGUACAUCACGGAAAUUGCUGUUUCCAUUAAUGAUGAUCAGGAGCAAGGCCUACGGAAAAAAGGUUUCAACAAAAUCUAUGUUGAUCUGAACGAAGGUGCAGGAGGAAACUAUAUUUUCCUCUGGUACAAGAAGGGCAGCAGCAAUCCCAUCACCAGAUUGCAGGUUACAUUCACAGAUGACAUGCAAAUUGGUUUGAGAAACGCAGGUUACCAUCAGGUGGAUAAAGACCUCAACGCUGGGGCUGGAGGAGAUUACAUCCAUCUCUGGUACUACAAAGGUACAACUGAGUAUGACAACCCUAUAGUGGAUCUUAAGGUUACCAAAGAUGCAGAAGAUGAAGCCCUAUUUUACCAGAAAGGCUGGGAACGACUGGCGUGUGACCUGAAUCGCAAAGCUAAAGGCAAGUGGAUCCGUGUUUGGGUGAAGAAAGAGAAGAAGAUGUACAUCGCUGACAUCAAGGCAACUACCUCUUUUGCAUUUGAUCACGAGUAUUUUUCCCAGGGCUACACCCGUGUGGAUGAAGAUGUGAGCCGAGGUGGAGGAGGAGCCUUUGUCUUUCUUUGGUAUCGUCAGUCCCUAACACAGUCCCAAUGGAUCAAUCACCUGGAUGUCUCCACUAACUGCAAAGAAGAGCAAAACCUUGAGGAACAGAGUUAUACCUGUGUUGGUGUUAAUCUCAAUGAUGGAACAGAAGGCAACAAGAAGAUACAUGCCUGGUACAAGAAGGGUUCAGACCAUCCCAUCCAGACCAUCACUGUAAUCUUUAAACACGAAGUGAGUCCUUAUGAGAAGGCUGGCAUCCAAGUCAUUAGAAAAAAUCUGAAUACAGGCAACAAGGGCGAUUACUUGUACCUGGCAUACCCAUGA